ensembl:lncRNA
UCUGGUUCUCGGCUCACUUGUGUAUGUAUAGCUGAGUGAAAUUAUGAAAUAUUUACUUGUUUUUUUCCUAUCCCUUUCUCCCAUUCAAGCAGAUGUUAGGAGAACUAACAGUGCCCAGGAGAACUUAAAGAGUGUUUGCAAGGGAGGUAAAAGAGGGAUAAGGAAUCUGCAUUCAUUUGCUAGGGCUGCAAACAAAAUACCACAACAUACUGAGUGGCUUAAACAACAGAAAUGUAUUGUCAUCAUUCUGGAGGCUGAAAGUCUGAGAUCAAGGUGCCAGCAGCAUUGGUUUGUUCUGAGGGUUGUGAGGGAACUCUACAUCCCAAGCCUCUCUUCUUGACUUAUAGAUGGCUGUCUUCUCUCUGCCUCUUCACAUCGUCUUCACGCUGUGCCUUUGUGUGUCCAGGUUUCCUCUUCUUAUAAGGACACCAGUCACACUGGAUUAGGGUCCACUCUUUGUACUGUUGUUCAGUCGCCAAGUUGUGUCCUACUCUUUGUGACUCCAUGGACUCCAGCACACCAGGCUUCCCUGUCCCUCACCAUCUCCUGCAGUUUUCUCAAGUUUAUGUCCAUUGAAUCAGUGAUGCCAUCCAACCAUCUCACCCUCUGUCACCCCUUUCUCCUGCCCUCAAUCUUCCCCAGCAUCAGGGUCUUUUCCAGUGAGUCAGCUCUUCACAUCAGGUGGCCAAAGUAUUGGGGCUUCAGCUUCAGCAUUAGUCUUUCCAAUGAGUACUCAGGGUUGAUUUCCUUUAGGACUGACGGGUUUGAUCUCCUUGCUAUCUUAGGGUCCACCAUAAUAGACUCAUUAUAACUUAAUCACCUCUUUAAAGGCCCUUUCUCCAGAUCUGGUCACAUCCUGAGUUAUUGGAGGUUAGGACUCCAACAUAACUUUUUUUAGGGAGACACCAUUCUACCCAUGAUGGGGAUUCAUUGGCAUUGACUGAGUGAAUGUCUUAAACACAAAAGGGAAUUCUGCCCCACCCCCCAGGCUAGGAAGAGUUUUCCCAGGGUGGAUGGUGGGCUAGAGAGGGAUGAGGAAGAGAAAGGCAGAGGGGACCAUGAUCAGCUUCCAAAAGGUGCCCAUGCCCCAGCAGACACAGCUGGACCCACAGAGAGAACUGGAGAGAUGUGGCUUGUUAGUGGGCAGCGCAUCCCAGGAGUGAGGCACGACUUGGGAGAACUCCAAGAAUAUUUGGAGUGAAUAUUUCAUCCAGCUUCUGAGAAUGGGUCAUGUGAGUCAGAAAUUAAUUUAGAAAUUUCGAAACUAGAGGAAUUGAUAUUUUUCAGAACCUUCUGAGUUUGUCAACUAAGAGUUAUGCCUGCCAAACUUAAAACAGACAAAAGGAGAACUGUUCUAGGUGGAGCUCACCUCCAACCCUGGCUCUCCUUGCAGCGUCUCAGGGCAAUCCUAGGAGUCCUAGGGUUCCAGGAAAAUCAAUGUGAAAACACUUAGGGUACCCUCUCCCCUUAUUAAACACACAGGACACAGAGGCUCAGACAAGGAAAAGGGACAGGUACAAGGCAGAUUAGUAGCAGAACCCAGAGCUCAUGAUUUCUACCAGGACACAUUCCUUGAUUUCCUCAAAAAUUUCCAGGGAGGCUGAUGCAGUAUCUUCAGUCUAUAUCCAGGUGCUAUCUGCACAGCAGAUGGCUGGAUCCCAGAGCCAUCCUGGAGAGGCAGAAUCACUUUUUGGGAACUUGUCAAGUUUUUGUUAUUGUUUUGUUUUAGCCAUUCUUAUGGAUGUGCAGUGUCCUGUGUUCUGACAUGUCCUCAUUAAUCUGAGGGCAUCUUUGCUUUCUAGCCAGAGAGGGCAUUCCAGGUUCACCUUGUCCUUUC